UACGAAGGGGGCGAGCGUUGUUCGGAUUUACUGGGCGUAAAGGGCGCGCAGGCGGUUCUGUUUGUCGAGUGUGAAAGCCCCGGGCUCAACCUGGGAACUGCGCUCGAAACGGCGGAACUAGAGUUCGGGAGAGGAGAGUGGAAUUCCCAGUGUAGAGGUGAAAUUCGUAGAUAUUGGGAAGAACACCGGUGGCGAAGGCGGGUCUCUGGGCCGAUACUGACGCUGAGGAGCGAAAGCGUGGGGAGCAAACGGG
rnacentral:rRNA from 1 species